AGUGAACGCUGGCGGUAGGCCUAACACAUGCAAGUCGAACGGCAGCACAGAGGAGCUUGCUCCUUGGGUGGCGAGUGGCGGACGGGUGAGGAAUACAUCGGAAUCUACUCUGUCGUGGGGGAUAACGUAGGGAAACUUACGCUAAUACCGCAUACGACCUACGGGUGAAAGCAGGGGAUCUUCGGACCUUGCGCGAUUGAAUGAGCCGAUGUCGGAUUAGCUAGUUGGCGGGGUAAAGGCCCACCAAGGCGACGAUCCGUAGCUGGUCUGAGAGGAUGAUCAGCCACACUGGAACUGAGACACGGUCCAGACUCCUACGGGAGGCAGCAGUGGGGAAUAUUGGACAAUGGGCGCAAGCCUGAUCCAGCCAUACCGCGUGGGUGAAGAAGGCCUUCGGGUUGUAAAGCCCUUUUGUUGGGAAAGAAAUCCAGCUGGCUAAUAC
rnacentral:rRNA from 1 species